GCAAUUCAACAUUAUCACCUAUUUCUUUACAUUGCAUGCCACAGAAGCACAAUCCUAUUUCUUUACAUCCACCCUUUCCUUUAAUACUUGAAACUGAAAAUGAAAUUCCAUUAAUGCUUUGUUCAAGAACAACUACGAUUGAUCCUUGAGAAAUGUGCAGGUACAUAGGCCGAAACUACACUUACUAUUUCCUAUCACCAUAUCAUUCAUUAAGGAAAUAUUCGCUACAUAAGCUUGACCCAGCCAAAUGACUAACAAACAUGUAGCCAUGGCCAAUACAGCAUGAAUUAGUCAGGAACUUCUCAGCACAAACUCUUAUCUAUUUCACACUUCUCCUCUGGACUCUAUAAAUUAAAAUAUCAGAAAUGCAUAUGCAAAGGCAGUGGAAGCAAAGAGAACUUAUAUUUGAAGGAGGCACAACGAAUCCGCAGCACGCUCCAUAAGCAACUACAAGCCGACGGAGCGAACAACAACAGGUUGGACCGAUGGACGACGACGAAAAAAGCAGAGGCCUACAGGAGGAAAAAUGCAGCAGUCAGUGAGCUCGUAAAUCCAAAACAUAGCAAAUAAUGGUGACGGUGACACCUCAGCCAAACGGUUCCAUGGAAAGUCAACCCAAAGCGAGACUAUAUACUUAAUAUCGUCGUGCAUAUACUUAAUAUCCUGAUGACACUAUAUCCACACUACUUGAGAAAGUAAAGAAUCAAGCGAGACUAACAGAGAAGUUGUAGAGUUCUACAGUUUCCACUUUACAAUACCAAAAAACAAUAUAGCUCUUUUGCAAGUAAUUACAUGACAUGAUGGUCUACAGCUACAAGAAGGCUGGGUGAAGUCUAUGAUGGGUUCUUUUCCAAGCAAGGAGAAGGCCAAGGUGACGCUGGUCUACAGCUACAGGAACGUCAUCAGCAGGUUCACGCCGAAGCUCACGCCCGCGCAGGUCCCCGUGUUGAGGAGUGAGUUCCCCUCUUGCUACUCUGCUUUGCUCUCACAGUCAACUGAAUCCCUUUAAUUAGCAGUAAAACUACAGUUGCAAGAGUUUUUUUAAUUGCAUGAUGCACAGCUGAUGGUCAACUAAGGCAAACCCAUAGUAUAAUUGUUAAGAUCAAAUUGGCAAUUUUUCUCGGAUCUGUUGUCAAUACCGAGGUCGGUGCAAGGGCUACACACAUGGCUAAUAUGCUAAUUCUUGUCGCCAGAAAACCAAGAAAGGUGUACCAUGAGCAAGGAUCGACAUUACAAAUGUAUACACUAUUAUGUAUAAAAGGCCAAUGGCUCCAGCAACUAUAGCAAUUAAACCGUAAACACCAAGGAAAGAAGAGAAUGAUUUUUAUUCAGCCGUUAUGUAAAAAAAGCAACCAAAUAGUUGCUGAACCUAGCCUUGUUAUGGUACCUAUUCAAACUAAACGAAGUACAAGCAAAUUUAUCGAAAGUAGAACGCACACAACUGCUUGAACAACUCUAGCAGCCUGUGAUAUGCAAAUCAGGAUACCUCACAAAAUAUUCUCAGAAUGCAUUGAUCAAUGUCUAUGCAAACCAAACAAAGGCGGCUUCUACACUAUGGAUCAGGAAAUAUUGACUGUUUAACUUAGUCAGGCCAAAGCCAUUGCCAAGACUCCUCAGAUUUAUUCCUUAAUAGUUCCAUAUGUCCAGAAAAUAAAAUACAAUACCAUCAACUCCAGUUCCACAAACUGUUAUUGGGACAUAUGCACAAUUUUGAAACUGAGUAUACAUACCAGUUCUAACCACAUAUAGUUGUUCUUAGUCCAAGCUCAAAUGUACCCAUGUUUACAUGGGUAGUGUGGAUAUUUAAUAUCAACAGGACAACAUCACAUUUUAUCUGCUGACCAAAGCACAACAGGUCAACCAAAGUACAACAGGCAAAGCUUGAAUUUAAAAGAAUUAUACACAAACCGAUCUCGCAUAUAAUUUGGCUCAGUGUAUCCAUGUUUACAACUGAUUAGCUGAAUAUAUUGGGCUGGGGUACCAAGGCUAAUUAGUUACGUGAUUCCUAAUCAGGAAGCCUACUCACAUGUAUUUUUAGAAAACAAAUAUAUCAGCAUGUUUAAAUGUGAACGAUGGAGGAAGUAAAAGCAACGAGAGAGGAGCUAUGUUUUUAAGGCGACGCCUUACCGCCUUAGGGAGGGGGGGCGCUUUGGCGCCUAGGCGACGCCUAGGCGGGCGCUUUGGACGCCUAGGCGCCCAAAGCGGAGGGGGAGCGCUUCGACGCCUAGGCGUCGCCUAGGCGUCGCCUUAGGGACGCCUUUAAAACAUAGGAGAGGAGCACCUCGGCAAUAUUGGAGGAAGUGGUGUUCCACUCCUAGGGUCCUAGCGCUCCUGUAGCCGACCCCUCAUCCAUGAGAUGAAGCAACAUAGAUUGGGUUUAGAAGCAACAGAAUCACACAAACAUAU
rnacentral:lncRNA from 1 species